rnacentral:rRNA from 1 species
CGCAAGCCUGACGGAGCAAGACCGCGUGGGGGAGGAAUGCCUUAGGGUUGUAAACCCCUUUUAUCUGGGAAGAACAAAUGACGGUACCUGAGGAAUCAGCCUCGGCUAACUCCGUGCCAGCAGCCGCGGUAAUACGGAGGAGGCAAGCGUUAUCCGGAAUUAUUGGGCGUAAAGAGUCCGUAGGUGGUGGGGCAAGUCGGCGGUUAAAGACUGGGGCUUAACUCCAGAAGAGCCGUGGAAACUGCGCCACUAGAGGGCGGUAGGGGUAGAGGGAAUUCCCGGUGUAGCGGUGAAAUGCGUAGAUAUCGGGAAGAACACCAGUGGCGAAAGCGCUCUACUGGACCGCAACUGACACUGAGGGACGAAAGCUAGGGGAGCG